GGUUCGUUGGUGUAGUUGGUUAUCACGUCUGUCUCACAUUAUGACCAUUGUAGGUCAUGUGGUGCACAGGAGGUCCCCGGUUCGAGCCCGGGUCGAACCA